UAGCUCAGUUGGUAAAGAAUCUGCCUGCAAUGCAGAAGACCCUGGUUCGAUUCCUGG
rnacentral:tRNA from 1 species